UACGUAGGGGGCAAGCGUUGUCCGGAAUCAUUGGGCGUAAAGAGCGCGUAGGCGGUCCGGUAAGUCCGCUCUGAAAGUCCGGGGCUCAACCCCGGGAGGCGGGCGGAUACUGCCGGGCUAGAGUCCGGAAGAGGCGAGUGGAAUUCCUGGUGUAGCGGUGAAAUGCGCAGAUAUCAGGAGGAACACCUAUGGCGAAGGCAGCUCGCUGGGACGGUACUGACGCUGAGACGCGAAAGCGUGGGGAGCGAACAGG
rnacentral:rRNA from 1 species